rnacentral:rRNA from 1 species
AUGGAUGUCGUCAGCUCGUGUCGUGAGAUGUUGGGUUAAGUCCCGCAACGAGCGCAACCCUCGCCUUUAGUUACCAUCAUUUAGUUGGGUACUCUAAAGGAACCGCCGGUGAUAAGCCCGAGGAAGGUGGGGAUGACGUCAAGUCCUCAUGGCCCUUACGCGCUGGGCUACACACGUGCUACAAUGGCAACUACAGUGGGCAGCAAUCCCGCGAGGGUGAGCUAAUCUCCAAAAGUUGUCUCAGUUCGGAUUGUUCUCUGCAACUCGAGAGCAUGAAGGCGGAAUCGCUAGUAAUCGCGGAUCAGCAUGCCGCGGUGAAUACGUUCCCAGGCCUUGUACACACCGCCCGUCACACCAUGGGAGUUGGGUUCACCCGAAGGCGUUGCGCUAACUCGCAAGAGAGGCAGGCGACCACGGUGGGCUUAGCGACUGGGGUGAAGUCGUAACAAGGUAGCCGUAGGGGAACCUGCGGCUGGAUCACCUCCUUUCUAAGGAUAGCGGCGGAAAGCGCUCGAUCUACG